GACGGAGGGUGCUAGCGUUGUUCGGAAUUACUGGGCGUAAAGGGCGCGUAGGCGGCCUGGUCAGUCGGAUGUGAAAGCCCGGGGCUCAACCCCGGAACGGCAUCCGAGACGGCCAGGUUGGAGACCGGGAGAGGAGAGUGGAAUAGCCAGUGUAGAGGUGAAAUUCGUAGAUAUUGGCUGGAACACCGGUGGCGAAAGCGGCUCUCUGGCCCGGUUCUGACGCUGAGAAGCGAAAGCAUGGGGAGCGAACAGG
rnacentral:rRNA from 1 species